CUGUGAUUGGAGUGGGUUUUCGGCACUAGGGGAUCCCCUUAUCUCUGGCAGACACAGGCUUGUCUUUCUCUUUGAAUAUCUGGGACUAUGAUCACAGAGCAUUCUCCAUCUAUGCUUACACAGCCUUGACAAGGAUUCUGAUCCAGCAACAUGAGUACAAGAACCACAGAGUAACCUCCUGCCAUGGUGCUCUGGACCAGCCUGGACCUCUGGAGGCCAUAGGACAUCUUCCCUGAGGCUUCAUGCAAAGCUUGACUUGUGCCCAAUUUUCAUCUCCCUUCUGAGUGACUGAUGUCUCCAAAUGCUUGAGUGAGGGCAGAUGAAGGAGAGAAACAUGAAACAGCCCCCAGAUGUCAACUGAUUGCACAUGACAGCGCCUGGCUGUGUGAGGCGAUAAAUAUAUUCUGCCGA
rnacentral:lncRNA from 12 species